GAUUGAAACGCUGGCGGCAGGCCUAACACAUGCAAGUCGAGCGGAUGAAGAGAGCUUGCUCUCUGAUUCAGCGGCGGACGGGUGAGUAAUGCCUAGGAAUCUGCCUGGUAGUGGGGGACAACGUUUCGAAAGGAACGCUAAUACCGCAUACGUCCUACGGGAGAAAGCAGGGGACCUUCGGGCCUUGCGCUAUCAGAUGAGCCUAGGUCGGAUUAGCUAGUUGGUGAGGUAAUGGCUCACCAAGGCGACGAUCCGUAACUGGUCUGAGAGGAUGAUCAGUCACACUGGAACUGAGACACGGUCCAGACUCCUACGGGAGGCAGCAGUGGGGAAUAUUGGACAAUGGGCGAAAGCCUGAUCCAGCCAUGCCGCGUGUGUGAAGAAGGUCUUCGGAUUGUAAAGCACUUUAAGUUGGGAGGAAGGGUUGUAGAUUAAUACUCUGCAAUUUUGACGUUACCGACAGAAUAAGCACCGGCUAACUCUGUGCCAGCAGCCGCGGUAAUACAGAGGGUGCAAGCGUUAAUCGGAAUUACUGGGCGUAAAGCGCGCGUAGGUGGUUUGUUAAGUUGGAUGUGAAAGCCCCGGGCUCAACCUGGGAACUGCAUUCAAAACUGACAAGCUAGAGUAUGGUAGAGGGUGGUGGAAUUUCCUGUGUAGCGGUGAAAUGCGUAGAUAUAGGAAGGAACACCAGUGGCGAAGGCGACCACCUGGACUGAUACUGACACUGAGGUGCGAAAGCGUGGGGAGCAAACAGGAUUAGAUACCCUGGUAGUCCACGCCGUAAACGAUGUCAACUAGCCGUUGGGGACCUUGAGUCUUUAGUGGCGCAGCUAACGCAUUAAUUUGAAACGCCAAAGGGAGGC
rnacentral:rRNA from 1 species